rnacentral:rRNA from 1 species
CCUACGGGUGGCAGCAGUGGGGAAUAUUGCACAAUGGGGGAAACCCUGAUGCAGCGACGCCGCGUGAGUGAAGAAGGAUUUCGGUAUGUAAAGCUCUAUUAGCAGGGACGAGACAAGACGGUACCUGACUAAGAAGCCCCGACGAACUACGUGCCAGCAGCUGCGUUAAUACGUAGGGGGCAAGCGUUAUCCGGAAUCCCGGGGUGUAAGGGGAGCGUAGACGGCUGAGCAGGCCUGAGGUGAAAGGCGAGGGCCCAACCCCUGAACUGCUUUGGAAACUGUAAGGUUGGAGUGCAGGAGAGGUAGGUGGAAUGCGUGGUGUAGCGGUGAAAUGCGUAGAUAUUAAGAGGAACACCGAUGGCGAAGGCGGCUUACUAGACCGUAACUGACGUUGAGGCUCGAAAGCGUGGGGAGCAAACAGGAUUAGAUACCCGUGUAGUC